UCCAAAUUCCUUGGUGGUGGAGGGGUUGGGUGGGGGGGGUGUACAGCACUCAGCAGACCAAAUAAAGCAUCCAAUGUAGUCGAAGUUACAUUUUUUUUUUUUUUUUUUUAGACAAUUCUCAUACCAAGCUAACAUUCUCAUUAGCGGGUUAUUUCUGCAGCAUUUUUAUUGCAGCCAUGAGUUCAUCUUGAAAUGACGUAAUCAUUAAAAAAAAACAAAAUUCGAACAAGCAGUGCUGUAGACGUCAUUGACAAUGUUUUUUUUUAGUCUUUAAAUGGAAUGUAUUUUUUUAAUCCAAAUAGUCUUGCAACAACUUGUGAAACUAAAAAAACAAACAAACGCUUCAGUCAAUUAGCAGUUAGCUAAUAGCUAACACCCGUUGUCCGUGUGUUCAAGUCGAAUGUGGAACAAAAACCGAGGUGCAGGCUCCGAGGGGAUGGGAGGUAAACCGGUUGCAACAAAGUGCUACGAGAUGAUUCGUUGGCACAGGAGGGGUCACAUGUACAUUAUUUACACAAUCACACGCUAGCUAAACAAGCUGCCUUCAUGCACUUUUGGAAAAAUAAACUUCUGGCAUUCCUUCGAGUAUUUCGUAAGUUUGUGUUUGUUUUUUCCAGGAAGCAUUCGGUGAGGUCGUAAAGUAUAAACAUGCUACGAGGUGGACUCCGAGAGGAGUCACGGUAAAGCUUGACUGAGUGAUCCUCACGCUGGAGUGGUCCAGCAGCGAGCGGUGGAAGAUGAUCCUCUUCCUUCUGGAGUCCCGGAUCCGUCGGCUCGGUUUGGAAGAUGGCGUUGAUGCGUUGAUAUUUCAGGUUUUAGGUCCGAACCCAGCUGACGGGCACCCAGAAAGAUUCACGCUCCAGUCUUUCUAGAAUACUCCUCAGCUCCGUGCAGGCGCUGGCUGAGUCCUCUUUGAUCAGGACCCUGUCCACCAGGUGUCCGUACUGAUGAUCCAUCUGGAUGGCCGACUGACGCAUCUCCUGAAGGUCCUCAUCCUGUUAAGGGACAUCAUGAGCUUACUUGCAUCCUAAGCUGUCUUUCAGAAUCCGCUAAACUACCUGGGACCUCCGCUACCAAGGGAUCGGGAACUGCUGAUCUCCAUUGUCCUGGACUGAUUAUUCCAACAGAUUAGGGUCGGUCUACUUAAGGAAUCCCUAGAACCAUUUGUAUCUGAAUCUAUUUUUUAGAGGCCACUCAAAUACCUUGGGAUCUCGACCUGAUCAGUCCAACAGAUUAGGGUCGGUCUACUCAAGGAAACCCUAGAACUCUAGAAUCUAUUUUUUAGAGGCCACUCAACUACCUCAGGAUCUCUACCUGAUCAGUCCAACAGAUUAGGGUCGGUCUACUCAAGGAAUCCCUAGAACCGCUUGUAUCCGAAUCUAUUUUUUAGGGGCCACUCAACUACCUCGGGAUCUCGACCUGAUCAGUCCAACUGAUUAGGGUCGGUCUACUCAAGGAAUCCCUAGAACCACUUGUAUCCGAAUCUAUUUUUUAUAGGCCACUCAACUACCUCGGGAUCUCGACCAGAUCAGUCCAACAGAUUAGGGUCGGUCUACUCAAGGAAUAUCUAGAACCACUUGUAUCCGAAUCCAUUUUUCAGAGGCCACUCAACUACCUUGGGAUCUCGACCUGAUCAGUCCAACAGAUUAGGGUCGGUCUACUCAAGGAAUCUCUGGAAAUGUCAGAAUCAGUUGGGACUACCUCAUCUCUAAGUCUGAGUCUUAGGACAAGAAACCUCUCAAUCUCCAAAGGUGUCCAAAGCCUCCACUCACCGUGACUCUGCCUUGCUCCGCCCCCCCUGGCGAGCUGGCGGCCGUGGCGCGUCGCCGUCUGUUCUCAGGGACCCGUGGUUUGACAAAAACAACGUAAGGCUUGAACUCUGCCGUCCUCAGCCUCUUCAGGGCCUGGAGAGUGAUGGAAUGAUCAGAACAAGCGAUGCCGGUGAUGGUAACCAUGGUGAUAGGAUGCUCGCAGUCCUUCACUGUUACCUCAGGCUGAACGUCUACGACACACAUCUUGUUCUUGGCCUGCACUGAGCGGAUGGCCUCGAUGCUGGUGCCAUACUGGUUCUCCUUGUACUCCCCGUGUUCUAUGAACCUGAAGGAGUAUCAGCCGACCUGUUAGCAAAACCUCCUGAGUCUACAUUCAGGAAUAAGGAGACACUGACUUGUUGUUGAGGACGUCCACGUCAAACUGCUGCUUGGUGACAAAGUGAUACUCCACUCCUUCCUUCUCGUGGGCUUUCUUGGGCCUGGUGGUAUCUGCAGGACCACAAACGACCCGUUGAAGAUCACGCUAUCUUGUCAUUCAGCGUUAAGUCAUGUAGGACUCACGUGGAACCGCCACCGCGUAGCGAUGUGGGUUCUCUGCGAUCACCCGUUGCUUGAGUUCAUUGAUUCGAGCUCCAAGAGAACCUUUAAGGAAACAAAUAAAAUACACAACAAUGUAACGAUGGUCGCCUGUGGAUGCUAAGGUUCCACGGUAUGGAGGCAGAUCUAAUGUUUGGGUUGAGACGGCCUGUACGGCCUGCUUUUUGUUUUGUGGUCUUCACAUUAGCAUGCUAGUUUUUGCACCCACCCUGGAUAAAUGAUAUGAUCUGUAGUCCUCUUCGUAGAAUUCCACUACUGUGUACUUCCCUUACCGAUCAGAACCACCAGUCGAGGUCUCUCAUUGGGGCGCUGUUGGUAGCGUGUCACUUCCUCGUAGGUCAGGAAGUCCGAGUCUCCCAGAUCGGAACCGUCGCUUGAGGACCCUUGCCGGUCUUUCCGACUCAAGCGGAAACUCCUGCGUAGACCAGCUAUGGUGGAUUUGGAUGACAGAAGUAGAAACGGCGACCAGUGCUGAGGCGCCUUGCCACAGUGGACUACCCCCCAGGGGAACGAGCCGGCCACUGUACCUGAAUAAAACUCCCAGGAAAACACCUGACCACAGGAGGGCGCCACUGCCUUACACUUAGGAGAGACUACAAGUGGUGUUAGAGCGUCACCCGACCGGCCUUCACGUGCACACCCAGGAUCGUGGACCACAAGGCUGAUUUUCAGAUGUUUCACUUCUGCAACCCCGGGGCUACAAAACAGAAAACCAUCUGAUUUACCAACAACUUACUGUAACAGUAACCAAUUGGAAACUAGCCUCGGGCCACAUUUCCACCAAGCGGUCCAGUCGGGUCGGAGGCAUCUGCUACAUAAAGCAUCAUCUUAGCAACAUGGCGAGAACAACAAGAGACUUUGUGCGUCCUGCUUGGUGGAAUGUCGGCAUUUGCACAUCCGUGACUCCAUCCUCAACCGUGACAUAGAAGUCAACCCUACAGCCAAACAUCGCACCCCGGGCCUGAAGCGUCCAGGGAACCGGCGGAACACAAGCCAAGGACAGCCAUGACAGUCGGAGAGCAAGAGAGAGGAUGUUGUGGUGAUGGAGGAUAGCAAAGGUGUGCAAUGCUCUCACCUAUGUACUGUCCAUUGAAAUAGCCCUCACAGUCACAGUCGUCUGCAGGGAGGCAAGCAGGGACAAGAAGAAGGGGUGGGUCAGCACAGGGUAGAAAUGUUCUGUGGAGGUCUUUGACGAAAGGGGGCGGGGCUUGGAGAGCGGAAGGACUAAGGUGAUAAUGAUGGAAAAAAGUAAUCUGGAAAGAUGGAGGGAUGAGAAACCCAAACGAUUCAGCCCAAAACAUGAAAGCUCAUCGACAACCGGACUUUUCGAGGUCGGAUGUUGCCUUUUUACCGCCUGUGGCAUCGCUAUUUCGAAAGUGGGGAGCAAUUUAAGCAAGAAUAGCGACGAUGCGCUCAUGCAAACAUGCCUGCGUGUGUGUGUGUGUGUGUGUGUGUGUGUGUCGUCGGCAGUCCUACUCACCCUUAUCACAUGCUUGGUCAACUGCAAGACAAGCAGACAGAGUUCAAAAUUGUACUUUUUAUUUGCGUACGAGGAUGUGACGAAAAAGAAGAUUUAGAGACGCAGGAUUAAAGCAGACAUAAAAGUCACUAAUGGGAAAAAGCGAGGGGGGCCCUGCUGUGGGCUGGAGGGGAAUUAAGCUAGCCGGGUGAGUGAGGAGUCUCCCUGCAGAGGGGGAGGGGGGGGCGACUGCCAUGUUACUAAGCCGUGGUGCCUAAUCGGAUCGCUCGCAGCUUACAUAUUGCAGAGAACUCCCCCCCGCCCCUAACCCUGAAUAUGGACCCACCCCUCGCCUACCUGGUUGCAUGCAUGCCAACAUGGAGCUUGAAAGUAAAAAGCAUAUUGUUGAGGACUUAAUCUGUCACCGGGUGACAUUAAUCCAUAUCUGCCCCCCCCCCUCGUGUGUAAAACAUGUCCACCAGCAGAAGAAAGGACUUCCCACAGUGCUAAUGAAUAAACGUCAUGCUAACGAGUUAGCAGAGGAAGACACUGAAGGUCGGGAAAAACAAGCAGGAACUUACAGGCUGGCGUUUUGGGGGAUUUGGGAUUCGGGAGCGUGCCUACUUUCAUCCUGUAGGCCAGGCGCCUGGUGACGUUCAGGACAAGGGAAGAGAAGAAGAAAAGAUGGGGGUCAGUCAACAAGGUGCCUCUUUGUAUAAGGCAAUUAUUUACCGUAAUUUGUGGGGCUUACGUACAAAAACCCCCGUAAAAGGAGGAAAAAUGUCGGGUGAAUUGUCUUUUGUGGGGGGGGGGGGGUACCAAAUAAGCGGGGACCUACUGGACGUUACUACUAAAAGGGAAACCAGGGAUCAAACCGGUAACUUCUCAGUUGCGAGACAACCACUGCGUCCGCAUGGGGGGAUCUGGUUCCUCUCACCUCUCCUGGAACUGCUUGGACGGGACCAGCCCAGCCCGCAGGUUGCUGUCACCCACCCGCUUGGCCUGCCACCACGUGGGGUCGUCCUGGGUGACCACCUGCAGGAUGUCGCCCCGCUUGAAGGGGAGUCCCGCUUCCUGGCAAGGAGUGGCCUUGUCCUCCAAGGGGAUGUAGUCGAACAAGGCUCUCACGUAGACCUGCAGGGAUGGACCAGACUUUAGAGUUGGUAUUAGGGUUGGUGUCCUACUUGAGGAGAACCACCCUAUGCAGUCUCCAGACACGACUCCUUCAAAGCCCCCUCAGAAAGCCUUUUAAAUCCUCCAUAAAUGGGACAAUGUAAAUUCCAGGUUGGGUUGCAUGUCCUAUUCUGACCCUUAUGUCACAAUGCUAGGUGGCUACAAACUCUAUUAGCUUUACUAGCAUCAUAUAGAGUAUUUGAAGGGAUUUUAGCCGUGCAUUUGUGUGCCGAGUCUUGGACUUGGCUCACCUUGCUCUCCCGCAGUCUGUCCUCCUCCUUAACAGCAGGAAUGAUCUUGAGCGUGAUGGACCCCUGCGACUGAGACUGCAGAUCAUAUUAAGAAACGAUCUUUGCGUCGCUAUUGACGACUGACUGUACGUUUUGGAUGCGACUCACCAGCAGCUGACUGAUCUCGUCCGGUCUCUUGUGGAUCACCGAGAUGCCGUUGACUUCCCUGAGUUCAUCUCCGACGUGGACCAAACCUGCCAGUCGGAGCAAAGUAAAGUCUGUGAUGGAUUUAUUCUGAUAUCUCCGCUGACGUCUCUGAGCCGCAGGAACAACAAGGAAUCCAAGACGCUGACAACUGAUCAAUACUCUCGUCUGAUUGCCUGGACACAGACUAUGAAUAAGAGAGUACAUGAGGCUGAUGUUUCCAUGGUAACGACUGUCAGAAUGCCUUCACUGCCAUCACCGUGGUUACAUACGUAUCAUUGUAUCUUUACUUCAAAUAAGCAUGACAAAAAAAAAUGGAUGCGGAGAACGUAACCGCGACAUACCGCUUCGAUCUGCGGCGCCUCCUCUCAUGAUGCGAGCCACGAUCACGGCCCCGGUCACGUCGUCUCGCCUGAUGGUGGCGCCCUGGUGCGGGAAGCUAGACGCACUAUCUUCACCGACUCCUCCUCCAGUUCGUCCUCGUAGUCGUCCGGCAAUGGCGGCAGGACGGGAUCGAAACUUUUCUGAGCGACGGUGUCGUGUACAGAAAGAAGGGCCUGACGGGAUGUGACAGAUGGAGCAGCUUCAGAUGCGGCGACGUGAGCAGGUGCACCAGCUCCCUCUCCUCUGAGCUCAUGGCUCUGCUCUGCAGCUCGUCCGCCACCUGUCCGUCACACACACAUCACGCACGCCGUGAGGAUACCCGCCAACAGCAGCUUCCUGCCGAGCCCACUCAGGACGAGUGGCGAGCGGCCGAGAAGCGGUGAAGCAUCUACGACCGGUGGCUAAGAUGUGGAGAUUAAACAGGUUCUUCCAAGUCUGCGGUUUGUUCAUGUGGUUCGAUGCUCAUUGGAUUGAUAUCCCCUCUAUGGCACCUCUGCUGGCUCUGAUGACACUAAAGUCAUGUGAUACGGAAGAAGACUGGAAGUAGUGGACCCCCCCCCCCCCCCCGCCCCCCCAAGCCCCUGCCCUCAUCAGACAAUCUGGUAUAGUUUUUUCCCUAUGUUUUUGUAUGUGAUGAAGAGUAUUGGGAGAAAAGUGGCUGGUUGCUAACUCGGGAAAUCACUGCCCCCUAGGCUUUCGGCAGAGAAUUGCAAGUGAUGAGCUUUCAGGCUUAUAUUAUGUCAGUCAUUCUGUACGUUCCAGAUUAAGUCAGAUUGAAGGCCCCCCCCAAAAAAAAAAUCCAGUUGCAAAGGCGACAAGGAUCUUUUUUAGCAUGUACGGGUGCACGUGUAGAAACUGAAUAAGGCGGCUUUUGUGUUUAAAUUAAUUUAUUCAUAUUUACAAAAACCACCUGUACAGGUUUUAUAAAAGCACACCGUCUCAGACGCCCAAAGCGUGAAGAACAGACGAGUGAUAGUUGGCACAUCCGUGAGCAACGCGACUCUUGUUAGUCAACCAAAACCUCAAAAAGCUUUCAUCAAGUGCUGGAAUUCAAAACAAGCGUAUCCCUUUUCUAGAAGAAUCUAGAAGAAGGGACCAGCCCUUUUUGUCUUAACGGAGAUGAUUUUGUCUAACAAAAAGUCCUAACGAUUGCGGAGAAGAAGCACAAUUGGAACAUUGUCAAGGCUACAGAAAGAUUUCACCACGCCAGCGACCGUCGUGUUUAGCGUCACACGUCGUCGUCUCUUUGGCGGCGCUUCCUCACGUCACGUCAUCAUCGUCCUCUUUGAUUGGAGAAGAAAACAAAAAGUUUCAAGCGUCCACAAGGGGGAGCCGCUUCAGUUUUUCUUGUCAUCUCCCGGCAGGAAGUAGGGGUUCUCGUGGCCUGGGACCAGAUACGAGUAGCGGGAAGGGUUUUUGUCUUUGAAGGUCUUCAUGGUGUCCGCGUUGAGGUCGUAUGAACCCGACUGAAAAGAGUGACGCUCACCACGCCGUUGGUGUGACGCUUUCUGUCCACCAAGGCACGAGUGCUGCCCGCCUCCACCAUCUCCAAGGAGGGCGGCAUCGCAUCCCAGGUGGUGGUGGCGGCGGUCGCGGAGGCGCGGGGAAGGGGCGUGAUGUCAGAGGGCCACGGCUUGGUCAGUUCGCCCGCCGGGUAUGGACUACUCGUGCUGUUGCUGGGGUCGCCUCGACACCGCCGCCUGGUGAACACACAGAGGGUCGCGGGGGAUGCUGGAGCCUAUCCCAGCUGUCUUCGGGCGAGAGGCGGGGUACACUCUGGACUGGACGCCAGCCAAUCACAGGGGACAACAACAAGGGAGCACCCAAGAGGGACCGUUCAUCAGCAGCGUACUACAUCAACAGUGACGUACCCCUCACUUGGUCCUGUGAGCCCAGUUCUGGUUGGAUUUCAGCGAUGAGAAACAUAGUUACUGGGGUACCCAAGUACAGAGUUUGGCUUCUCAAAGCAGUGUGUGUUUGUAUGUGACAAAAAUACCAUCUUGAAAAAAAAUCACACCUCAGCCAUCUUGUUUUGGUAUGUUUUGUAGCAGAUAAAGAUGCGAGGGUGGCGUCUACAACUGGACUCACGGGGCCACAAGUACGGGAUACUGAAUGGGAGACGGUUUUUCCACUCUACCAGGUGGGACACGCCACGGCUGACUUCAGGCGGUGUUAAGCGGGCCCCGCCUUCACCCACUGAGACUAUGACUGACAAAAGGGCUCACUCCGUUCAUGCUGUUGUUCUACGGAACAAACGUGGCAAGGCGCUCCUGUUUGGAGGCUGGAGAUGAGUGUGGCCCUAACGCCCCCCCUCCCCCCAGUAGAGGAGACCUGACAAAGAAGCAGAGCGCAGGUGGCCUUGGAGGGGGGCAGCUGGAAGACGGCGGUCUUGGCGGCGUCCUUGUGGCUGCUGAGGUCAGACGGGCUGAUCUGGUAGGAGGAAGGCGGAGUGGAGGAGUGCUGCUUCUCCAUCUGCUCGCUGAGCUCCUGCGAGGGGGUGAGCUGCUGGUGAGGAGGCGGGGGGGCGUCCAGGCUGCUCAGGUGGAAGACGUGCUGCGGCGAGGAGCCCGCCAGCAUGGCAAAGUGCGCCUUUGGCACGGAGGGGGCGAAGCCGCACUCCAGGGGCGUCGUGGUGUAGAUGUUCUUGUCAGAGUAGAGGGGGUUCACCGUGUGGGCCGUGGUGAAGGCUCCGGAGGAAGCGGGGCCGGGCCCGAGGGGGAAGCCGCCCGUGUGGCUGGUGCGCUCCAGAGCCUGCAGCAGGAAGCGCGAGUACUCGUUCAUCACGGCGGUCUUGUCCCCGGACGGGCUGGGGGCGUCGGCAUCAGGGGGGGUGAGCUCCACGUGCUGGUCGCCGAUGUCAAAGUGGAUGUCAUGGUGGGAGCCGUCUGGCUUUUGGCUGUAGUGGUCCAGCAGGCUUUGCAGCACCUCGUCGGGGAUCCCGGACUUGUCCAGACUGAGUGGGGCGUCGGCGUCCAUCAUGGUGGACACGGUGCCCUGGAUGACAGCGGGAUGUGAGGACAACAGUCCGACGUCAUAUUCGCUGCCACUUCCCACUCCCACGGCGGGCCCCGAUGUUGUCACGCUGUGGGGGCCGUGAAGGUAGCGCCGCUUCUUGAGGAAUUGCAUGGCGUCGUCAUAGUUACUACUGGUGGCGCCGCCCACUUUGGCACCAUUGGCAUGCAUGAGGCCCAGACCGUGAUCCACGUCGGCUCCGCUCUGCUCCAACACAUCUACCUUGCCGCCUUUGUCCGCCCCUUUACGGGGGGCCUUCUUGAAGGCCAUCUUUGGGGCACGGCCGUGGUGUUGCAUACUGGGGCCUGGCUCGGUGGACGAGGACACCGUCUGGUUCUCCACGGCGUACUCGUGAAUGCUGUACGCUCCAGACACGGCGCCGGGAACAUGAGGCACUCUCAGCGUCCCUCCGUCUCCCUUCUUCUUCUUUCGGGGGGCUCCCUCUCCGGGAUUCUUGGAGCGUCCUCUUUUUCUGCCAGAGUUUCCCUGAGUGAUUCCGUAGCUGCCCAUGUCCACACAUCCCAUGUCCAUCAUGCUGGGGUCCAGGCCCUUCCUUAACGCUUCUCCACAGGUUCGCUUGUGCUUCAGCAGGCGGUCCGUCCUAGAAAAAUACUGAAGCACAAACACGAGGCUGAAGAUGCUACAGCUGGACGUCGGCGCCAUAAGAAGCAGGAAGUAGACGAGGAGGUCACAAACCUGUUGGCAGGUCUCGCAUCUGUACGGCUUCUCUCCGCUGUGCGUGCGCUUGUGUCUCUCCAUGUGGUACUUCUGGAUGAAGCGCAUGUUGCACUGGUCGCAGCUGA